rnacentral:rRNA from 1 species
UAAAUUAAUCUAAGGGCAGAUGGUGGAUGCCUAGACUAGAAGAGGCGAUGAAGGACGUAUUAGGCUGCGAUAAGCCAGGGGGAGCUGCCAAAAAGCUUUGAUCCCUGGAUUUCCGAAUGGGGCAACCCGGUAUGGCGCGAGUCAUAUCACCUUUCGAGGAGCGAACGUGGGGAAGUGAAACAUCUCAGUACCCACAGGAAAAGAAAUCAACCGAGAUUCCCUUAGUAGCGGCGAGCGAAAUGGGAAUAGCCCUAAAAUCUUUGAGGUGUUAGUAGAAUGAGCUGGAAUGCUCGACCGUAGAGGGUGAAAGUCCCGUAUACGACAACUAAUCAUAGACUAUUCGAGUAGGUCGGGACACGUGAAACCCUGACUGAAUAUGGGAGGACCACCUUCCAAGGCUAAAUACUACUUCUAGAUCGAUAGUGAACCAGUACCGUGAGGGAAAGGUGAAAAGAACCGCAGUGAGCGGAGUGAAAUAGAACCUGAAACCAUCUGCCUACAAUCAUUCAGAGCCCUAUGCUAUACGCAGGGUGAUGGACUGCCUUUUGCAUAAUGAGCCUGCGAGUUAUGGUGACUAGCAAGGUUAAUCAAACGAGAAGCCGUAGCGAAAGCGAGUCUUAAUAGGGCGAUAGUUAGUUGCUGUAGACCCGAAACUAAGUGAUCUAUCCAUGGGCAGGUUGAAGCUGGUGUAAGAGCUAGUGGAGGACCGAACGGGUGAAGGUUUAAAACUUCUCCGAUGACCUGUGGAUAGGGGUGAAAGGCCAAUCAAACUUAGUGAUAGCUGGUUCUCUCCGAAAUAUAUUUAGGUAUAGCGUCAUGUUCGAAGCAUGAGGGGGUAGAGCACUGAUUGGGCUAGGGCCUAUACCAAGGUACCAAACCCAGUCAAACUCCGAAUACCUCAUGUGAAUUCAUGGCAGUCAGGUUGUGGGUGAUAAAAUCCAUGAUCGAGAGGGAAACAGCCCAGACUACCAGCUAAGGUCCCAAAGUUCUAAUUAAGUGGAAAAGGAUGUGGAGUUGCUUAGACAACCAGGAGGUUGGCUUAGAAGCAGCCAUCCUUUAAAGAAAGCGUAACAGCUCACUGGUCUAGCGAUUCUGCGCCGAACGAAGAUAUAACGGGGCUAAAUUAGACACCGAAGCUGUAGAUUUAGUAUUUAUACUAAGUGGUAGGAGAGCGUUCUAGUCAGCAUUGAAGCCAUACCGGUAAGGAGUGGUGGAGCGGCUAGAAGUGAGCAUGCAGGCAUGAGUAGCGAGAAAACGGGUGAGAAUCCCGUUCGCCGUAAACCCAAGGGUUCCUACACUAUGCUCGUCAAUGUAGGGUUAGUCGGGUCCUAAGCUGAGUCCGAAAGGGGUAAGCGAUGGCAAAUUGGUUAAUAUUCCAAUACCAACUAAUAGUUUAGUACGAAGGGGGGACGCAUAGGGUUAAACGAGGUCACUGAUGGAAUAGUGGCUCGAAGGGUGUAGAUAAGCUGGAUAGGAAAAUCCGCCGGCUGUUUUCGAGACCUGACAGGCAGAUCGAGUUCUUCGGAACAACAUCUGAAUCGUUGAUACCGUCGUGCCAAGAAAAGCCUCUAAGUGUAUUAUUAGUUGCCCGUACCGUAAACCGACACAGGUGGGUGAGAUGAGUAUUCUAAGGCGCGUGGAAGAACCCUGGUUAAGGAACUCUGCAAACUAGCACCGUAACUUCGGAAUAAGGUGUGCCUCCUUCUGUAUAUGGAUUUACUCCAAAAAGCGGAAGAGGUUGCAACAAAGAGUCCCUCCCGACUGUUUAUCAAAAACACAGCACUUUGCUAACUCGUAAGAGGAUGUAUAAGGUGUGACGCCUGCCCGGUGCUUGAAGGUUAAUUGAUGGGGUUAGUUCUUCGGAACGAAGCUCUUGAUCGAAGCCCAAGUAAACGGCGGCCGUAACUAUAACGGUCCUAAGGUAGCGAAAUUCCUUGUCGGUUAAAUACCGACCUGCAUGAAUGGCGUAACGAG